GGAGUUGUGACUCAGUGGCAGAGUGCUUGCCUGGCAUGUAUGGGGCACUUGGUUUGAUUCUCAGCACCA
rnacentral:tRNA from 1 species